UCUCAUAAAACCUGCGGUUUUUCACCUUCUCUUUAGUGGCUCUUUUGAUCAGGGAGCUCCAGAUGUGCGGCUCGGUGUCCAAACCGCUGGUCACUUUGUGUGUGUGUGUGUGUUGCCUGAUGUAAUCGUUUUGUAGCGCCAGUUUAUAAUAGAAUAUAUUUUGGCUGAAUUGUGCCGCCGCUUUCAUCUAUUUCAAGGGUUGUUGUUUUUUCUGGCUCACGUCUUGCAUCGUUUUAAUCUGGUAUAAAAUCAGAUUUAAUGUGAUCAAAAGAAAAAAUUGCAGUGCAAGAUCCAAAUGCCUAGAUUCUCAAUGGACCCUAAUGACUGAAUCAGCGGUGGGCUGCUCCCAGUUUGGUCCAGUUCUAUAGAACCAGUAGUAAAACCGGCGGGAGGCUCCUCCCACCUGCCACAACGUCAUCGUGGAUGAUACGCACAGAAGCGCGAACGAAGCGAGUACACACGUGCACUCCCGUUGUGAACCAGUGGUAAAGUGUUCCCAUGAUGUAAACCUGAAUGAAGAUCCCAGCUGGGAUCACUCCCCAGAAAAAGGCUGCUUGAGGGCAAUAACCUGGGACAAUCCAAUACAACAAGUAAAAAUACAAGUCUGGGAAUUAGCCUCCCAUAAGUGGAGCAGAUGUUGAAUGCCUUACUCAUUUAUUUGCAUGAAAUUAUGAAGUUUAUACGGUUAAGACAAUCAGGUCGAUGUUCAGCAUUUUUACAGAUUCUUUGUGUGGCUAGAAGUUAAAACACAAGGAAAUUAGUUUUGGAGUUCAAUCCCAAUCAAAGGUAAUUUGUGAACUGGAUUUGAAGUACAGUAAUAGAGCAAAGAAAGUUGGACCAUAAGAAAGGCUGAGCGCCAAAGAAUUGAGGCCUUUGAACUAUGGUGCUGGAGAAGACUCUUGCAAGUCCCUUGGACUGCAUGGCGAUCAAACCGGUCAGUCCUAGAGGAGAUCAACCCUGACUGCUCUUUAGAAGGCCAGAUCCUGAAGAUGAAACUCAAAUACUUUGGCCACCUAAUGAAAAGGAAGGACUCACUGGCGAGGAGCCUAAUGCUGGGAAAGAUUGAGGGCAAAAGAAGAAUGGGACAACAGAGAACGUGAGUGGCUGGAUGGAGUCACUGAAGCAGUCAGUGUGAGCUUAAAUGGAUUCCAGAGAAUGGUAGAGGACAGGAAAGCCUGGAGGAACAUUGUUCAUGGGGUCGUAAUGGGUUGGACACAACUUCACAACUAACAACAAUAACAACUAAGUAGAACAAAAAAAUGAGUUAACAACUUAUUACUAGAAGUGUUUCUCAGCCUGUUACC